GGUGCCAUAGACUUUUGGAACUUAACAUUAAUUGACAUCGGGCCUUGGCACCUGCGCGCACUUUUGUAACGCUCUCCGCUAAACGCGCCGGGCUAUAUAAUACGCGCGAGCCUCUAUAAUUCAGCACGCGCAUAGGUACUGCCUUAAGUAGUACGUAAUGACGAGCAUCGAUGCUCCUGUCGAGCUCUCGCGGCUACAGAGCCCUAAUGUCUUCGUUGCGGCCGUUUAGAAGAUACCCUCGGCUUAUAGAGAAAAUUGCUUCUCCUGCAUGUACCCAAGUCCAACGCAGGCUGCUUUUCGCUCUUUCUUUUCUUUAAACUCGAAAAACGGCAUGAACGUCUUGAAAAUUGGCUAAAUGUUUUUUACCACAAAUACUUAUCGCUUGCGCACUGCUCUCGAGUUAUAUUCCACAAAUACAGAUGCGUGAAAUAUUUGCCAGAGAAUAUACAAUUCUUCACGCGCAGUACACAAUGUCAAGCGAGAGAGAGAGAAUUAAGAUUGUUUGUUCCGCGAAAAGUUUUCUUUGAAUCGCGCAAAUGCUCUAAUCCGUAAGAUAGUGUAGUAUCAGUCAAUUCGAUCAGAAAACAACUACACGUACGACGAAUUUCCUCAUUCGGAGUGCACGAUAAAAAAGAGUCAUUUUUCCUCGAGUAAUCGCAGUUUUCAUUACGAAGCCAUCAUUACGAAGUAAGGAUGAAAAUAGCAGUUUUUUUGCUACUGGUGGCAUUGGCACUGAUCUGGGAGCCCGCCGCUGCACAAGGUGCCUCUUCGUGCGCCACCGUACUCUGUAACGCUGCUACUACCUGUCAAAAUGGCCAAUGCUUACGCAAUUGUUCCGGACUUCGGUGUCGAAGUGGUUAUAGGUGCGUCGAGCGACCUUUGCCUGCCAGAUGCGUCAAAAAUUGACAAAAACAAAAUGACGGGGGCAGACUUUCACAAACUCUUCAUGUUAGAACUUUGCCUAAUUGAGUAAUUAGUCUCGCAACUGGACAAACAACUCAAUUCCUUGAAGCUGCUAUACAUAAAUUUAUAUAAACUAGUAAUAAACGAUAUUAUAUUAAUGUGCCUCAUGCUAUCUUCGAUGCAUUUAGGUGACGAUGGCGUAAUAUACACGUUCAAGGUUCAAACUGUAUAAUAUGGGGAUAUGGGCCUUUGCCUACGACUUCUUUUCUGUAUCCAUUUAGAAUGCCACUAGACAGAUAACUGUGUUAAUAUUGUUCACAGGGUUAUUAAUGCAAAAUAAAUAUGUAAAAGCAA